rnacentral:rRNA from 1 species
AUUGAACGCUGGCGGCAGGCCUAACACAUGCAAGUCGAGCGGCAGCGGGAAAGUAGCUUGCUACUUUUGCCGGCGAGCGGCGGACGGGCGAGUAAUGCCUGGGAAAUUGCCCAGUCGAGGGGGAUAACAGUUGGAAACGACUGCUAAUACCGCAUACGCCCUACGGGGGAAAGCAGGGGACUUUCGGGCCUUGCGCGUUCGGAUAUGCUCAGGUGGGAUUAGCUAGUUGGUGAGGUAAUGGCUCACCAAGGCGACGAUCCCUAGCUGGUCUGAGAGGAUGAUCAGCCACACUGGAACUGAGACACGGUCCAGACUCCUACGGGAGGCAGCAGUGGGGAAUAUUGCACAAUGGGGGAAACCCUGAUGCAGCCAUGCCGCGUGUGUGAAGAAGGCCUUCGGGUUGUAAAGCACUUUCAGCGAGGAGGAAAGGUUGAUGCCUAAUACGUAUCAACUGUGACGUUACUCGCAGAAGAAGCACCGGCUAACUCCGUGCCAGCAGCCGCAGUAA